rnacentral:snRNA from 1 species
UGAAGAGAUGUUGUCGUACAUUC